CGUAGUUAAGGGCAAACUUGUUGAAAAGCAGGGACGCAAAGCCAAGGGGCUAAAGAAGAAAUCUUCAAUGCCAGCCGGUUGCCGAU
rfam:Firmicutes bacterium CAG:536 genomic scaffold, scf11